GCCCACAUGGCACAAUGGUACUGCGCGCGCCUCGAGAGCGCGUUUCCUUCGGGAUUUCCAGGUUCGAUUCCUGGUGUGGGCG
rnacentral:tRNA from 1 species